rnacentral:rRNA from 1 species
CAUGUCCUUUUGAUAAGAAUUUAAGGUCUAAUCUGCUCAAUGAUAUUUAAAUAGCCGCAGUAUUUUGACUGUGCAAAGGUAGCAUAAUAAUUAGUUUCUUUAUUGGGAACUGGAAUGAAUGAUUGGACAAGAAAAUUUCUGUCUCUUUCUUAAUUUUGUUGAAUUUUAUUUUUAAGUGAAAAAGCUUAAAUUUUUAUAAAAGACGAGAAGACCCUAUAGAGUUUAAUAUAAAAAUUCAAUAAGAAUUUAGAAUGUUUUUUUGUUUUUUAUGUAUUUAGUUGGGGUGUCUAAAAGAUUUAAAUAAUUCUUUUAAAAUAAAAUUGAAGAUUUUCAAAUACUAAAUCUAUAUUUUAUAAAUAUAAAAUAAAUUACCUUAGGGAUAACAGCGUAAUUUUUCUUUAAAGAUCUUAUUGUAAGAAAAGUUUGCGACCUCGAUGUUGGAUUAAAAUUAAUUUUUGGUGCAAUAACUUAAAAAUUAGGUCUGUUCGACCUUUAAAAUUUUACAUGAUCUGAGUUUAGACCGGUGUGAGCCAGGUCGGAUUCUAUCUUUAGAAAUUUUUUAUAUUUUAGUACGAAAGGACCAAAUAUAAGUUAAAUUAAUUGU